GAGGCCCUGGCGGCGCCCGAGCCCGCGAUGUCGGGCCCCAACGGGGACCUGGGCGUGCCGGUGGAGGCGGGCGCGGAGGGCGAGGACGACGGCUUCGGGGAAGCAGAAUACGCUGCCAUCAAUUCCAUGUUGGACCAGAUCAACUCCUGUCUAGACCACCUGGAGGAGAAGAAUGACCACCUCCACGCCCGCCUCCAGGAGCUGCUCGAGUCCAACCGGCAGGCGCGCCUGGAGUUCCAGCAGCAGCUAGGGGAGGCCCCCAGCGAUGCCGGCCCCUAGGCCCGCGAGCCCCCCGCCCCGCCUCCCGGGGUCAGACCAUGGCCUGAGCCCUACCACCCAGCUCAGAUACCUUCUCCAGGGCAGCCACUGGGUCCCCCGGUGGGCCUGUCUGCGUGGCCACCCUCUGACACGCCCCUGCCUGGGCCAGCGCCCAUCAUCCAGCAUCUCCUGGGGCCAGGGGCGGACCUGCAACCCACCUGCCUUGCCUGUCUGCCGAGUCCUGGGCACUCCCCACUCUGCCCAGGCUUUAAGUGCCCACAUUAAACCGGCCUCCAACACCACUUCACCUCUGUCCUCUGUAUCUUGGGAGAAGGACUCCAGUGCCCGCCAGAGGGGAACCGGCCGUCACUCACCUGCGGCUCACGGCCUAGUGGUGGGGCUGGCAAGGCUCCCACCUACCUGUCGUAUCCCCAGCCUGGCUGAGCUCCCAGCGUGCUGUGAGUGAGGACAUGCUCCCCUCUCUGGGUACUAGGUUUUCACUUUAGUACCGAGACGUGCUGUGCAACCUGGGCAGUGCCCUCCUGCUCGUGGCCUCAGUCUCCCCAGCCGGCCAGUCACAGGCCUGGUCUGGUGGGCUGUCUCUUAGGGUGCUUCCAGAUGAGGAAAUAGCAGAAGUAAAGAGCUGAGUGAGCCUGGGCUGCAUUCCCAGCGAUUCAUCAUGGUUGCCUGACGAGAAGGGCAGGCACCCCAUUAGUGAACCCAGCACAGAAUCAGGCCAGAGCCGAGGGCCCCUUUGUACUUGUUUCCAUGGGGUCCAGCUGGAGAGGCCAGCACCCGGGUUCAGAGCCUGCGCCCUAGGUCAUCCUGGCCACUUAACCAGAUGUAUGAUCUUUGCAGGCUACUUGACGGUACCAGACCUCAGUUUCAUCUGUAACUUGGGGAUAGCAACCAAGACGUACCCCCAGGCACUGUGAAGAUUAAAUGAGAUCUGACUUGAAGUGGCCGUAAUCCACACCAGGUGUGCCCACACUAUCAUCUACUGAAGCCUGUUAACAACCCUCUGUGACCCACUCAUUUUACAGAAGAGGAUACAGGCCCAGGGUCACACAGCUGCUUUGUGGAGGACUGAACCCUCCCCACGGUCAACCGUAAGCCCCUAAGUUCCAACCUGAUACUGCAGGUCCUCGGCCCAGGGAGUCAGAUUCACCCACUGGAAGUAAGCCCUUCCAGACGAGGUCCUGCGGCCCCAGCCACAUCAGCCUGCCUGCCCGGCAGUGCCCUCCACCACUCAGCAGGCAAACAAAUGAGCUUCUAGGAAGGCUACCACCCCAACUCCCACACCGGGCUGCAGCGUUGCCUCGCAGCCCGACCUGGAACUGUCAGAGCUGGGCAGAGGAAACAGACUGAGAGGCACCCUGGGAGGCAGGAGCAGCAUGUGCAAAGGCUCAGAGGAGGCUACCCACAGAGAAUGCUCCUGGAAAGCAAAAGGCUGGUGUGUUCCAGGGCUUGCCCAACCUAUGCCACAGCCAAGAUCUGCAUCGCUUAUGCCUGGCUCCCCG